UGUAUUAUUUUUCUCUUAUAUCCCCUCAAAUUUCUCCUAUCCCCUACCCCAUAUCUAUUCUCCCUCUCUCUACUUCCCGAUAUCUUCUCCUCCGCCUGCCAGUGGCAUUGAUAUUUUACAUUGAAAUUCAAGUUUAGAUUUGUGCAAGUAUACUACAAUGGAGUAUGUAGACCAAAAUAGAUGCCGAGAACUGGCCAAGUCAUCAUCUUUUUAACGCAGGAUAUAUUCAGAGUAAUUGUAGUAUGUUCAUCUAGAAAAAUGUCAAGAGAGAUUAAUGGUGUUUGCCACCGUCACCAUUUCGACCGUGGCCGUUAUUCAUUGAUACCGCCGCCCUCAGCCUCCCAAUCUCAUUCUCUGACGCAACAUAUCGGAUCAACAAAAACCUCCGUUAUUUCGCCGGUAAUUACGUGCUAAUCGUCGGCAACCAGAGGCAACGGUGACGGCGAGCGAGGACUGGAUACUGAUGCCGCUUCAACGAGACGACAUUAGGGUUGUUCUUGAACAAAGACGACUGAGUUGGAGGCUGAGCAACUUGAAUUUUCAGUUAA